rnacentral:rRNA from 1 species
GCCUGCCCAGUGACUUUGUUCAACGGCCGCGGUAUCCUAACCGUGCGAAGGUAGCGUAAUCACUUGUUCUUUAAAUGAGGACUAGUAUGAAAGGCAUCACGAGGGUUACACUGUCUCCUUUUUCCAAUUAAUGAAACUAAUCUCCCCGUGAAGAAGCGGGGAUCAGAAUAUAAGACGAGAAGACCCUAUGGAGCUUAAAAUUACAUAACAAUUGCUACACUAUAAAAAUUUACCCCUUAUGCCCAGCAAUCUGAUUAUUAAUUUUUGGUUGGGGUGACCGCGGAGCAUAACAUAACCUCCACAUUGAAAGGAUCCCACUCCUAAGCUAAAAGUAACAACUUUAUGCAUCAACAAAUUGACAUUAAUUGACCCAAUAUAUUGAUCAACGAACCAAGUUACCCUAGGGAUAACAGCGCAAUCUACUUUGAGAGCCCAUAUCGACAAGUAGGUUUACGACCUCGAUGUUGGAUCAGGGUAUCCCAGUGGUGCAGCCGCUACUAAUGGUUCGUUUGUUCAACGAUUAAAACCCU